AUUGAACGCUGGCGGCAGGCCUAACACAUGCAAGUCGAGCGGAUGAAGGGAGCUUGCUCCUGGAUUCAGCGGCGGACGGGUGAGUAAUGCCUAGGAAUCUGCCUGGUAGUGGGGGAUAACGUCCGGAAACGGGCGCUAAUACCGCAUACGUCCUGAGGGAGAAAGUGGGGGAUCUUCGGACCUCACGCUAUCAGAUGAGCCUAGGUCGGAUUAGCUAGUUGGUGGGGUAAAGGCCUACCAAGGCGACGAUCCGUAACUGGUCUGAGAGAUGAUCAGUCACACUGGAACUGAGACACGGUCCAGACUCCUACGGGAGGCAGCAGUGGGGAAUAUUGGACAAUGGGCGAAAGCCUGAUCCAGCCAUGCCGCGUGUGUGAAGAAGGUCUUCGGAUUGUAAAGCACUUUAUGUUGGGAGGAAGGGCAGUAAGUUAAUACCUUGCUGUUUUGACGUUACCAACAGAAUAAGCACCGGCUAACUUCGUG
rnacentral:rRNA from 1 species